UACGUAGGGUGCAAGCGUUGUCCGGAAUUAUUGGGCGUAAAGAGCUCGUAGGCGGUUUGUCGCGUCGAAUGUGAAAACCCGGGGCUCAACCCCGGGCCUGCAUUCGAUACGGGCAGACUAGAGUUCGGUAGGGGAGUCUGGAAUUCCUGGUGUAGCGGUGAAAUGCGCAGAUAUCAGGAAGAACACCUAUGGCGAAGGCAGCUCUCUGGGACGGUACUGACGCUGAGACGCGAAAGCGUGGGGAGCGAACAGG
rnacentral:rRNA from 1 species